GUGAGGAAUUUUGCGCAAUGGGGGAAACCCUGACGCAGCAACGCCGUGUGAGUGAAGAAGGCCUUCGGGUCGUAAAGCUCUGUCAGGCGGGAAGAACCCUCCUGGGACGAAUAAUCCUGGGAGUUGACGGUACCGCUGAAGGAAGCACCGGCUAACUCCGUGCCAGCAGCCGCGGUAAUACGGAGGGUGCUAGCGUUAUUCGGAAUUACUGGGUGUAAAGCGCGUGUAGGCGGUCUUUCAAGUCGGAUGUGAAAGCUCCGGGCUCAACCCGGAAAGUGCAUUCGAAACUGUUAGACUUGAGUCCGGGAGAGGAAGGUGGAAUUCCCAGUGUAGAGGUGAAAUUCGUAGAUAUUGGGAGGAACACCGGUGGCGAAGGCGACCUUCUGGACCGAAACUGACGCUGAGACGCGAAAGCGUGGGGAGCAAACAGGAUUAGAAACCCGAGUAGUCC
rnacentral:rRNA from 1 species